GAUGAAGAACGCAGCGAAAUGCGAUAAGUAGUGUGAAUUGCAGAAUUCCGUGAAUCAUCGAAUCUUUGAACGCACAUUGCGCCCGCCAGUAUUCUGGCGGGCAUGCCUGUUCGAGCGUCAUUACAACCCUCAGGCCCCCGGGCCUGGCGUUGGGGAUCGGCGGAGCCCCCCGUGGGCACACGCCGUCCCCCAAAUGCAGUGGCGGUCCCGCCGCAGCUUCCAUCGCGUAGUAGCUAACACCUCGCGACUGGAGAGCGGCGCGGCCACGCCGUAAAACACCCAACUCUUCUGAAGUUGACCUCGAAUCAGGUAGGAAUACCCGCUGAACUUAAGCAUAUCAAUAAGCGGAGGA
rnacentral:misc_RNA from 1 species